rnacentral:misc_RNA from 1 species
UUUCCGUAGGUGAACCUGCGGAAGGAACAUUAUCGUACAAUAUGAGAGGGGCAUGCGGCGGCCUUCGCAGACCCACAAGUCAUGCACGCCCGAGUGUGUCCUCUUGCAUAAUAAUCCAGCUAACCCUUUGUGCAUCCCCGCGUGGGCACCCUUCGGGAUCAUCUCGGAGGGGGGCUCGCGUUUUCACAAAUACCCCCCUUUUAAAAGUGUAGAAUGACCACAUUUAUGCAAUCAAUACAACUCUCAACAACGGAUCUCUUGGCUCUC